rnacentral:rRNA from 1 species
CCUACGGGGCGCAGCAGUGGGGAAUAUUGGGCAAUGGACGCAAGUCUGACCCAGCAACGCCGCGUGAAGGAAGAAGGCUUUCGGGUUGUAAACUUCUUUUAAGGGGGAAGAGCAGAAGACGGUACCCCUUGAAUAAGCCACGGCUAACUACGUGCCAGCAGCCGCGGUAAUACGUAGGUGGCAAGCGUUGUCCGGAUUUACUGGGUGUAAAGGGCGUGCAGCCGGGCCGACAAGUCAGAUGUGAAAUCCGCGGGCUUAACCCGCGAACUGCAUUUGAAACUAUUGGUCUUGAGUACCGGAGAGGU